CCUACGGGGGGCAGCAGUGGGGAAUAUUGCACAAUGGGGGAAACCCUGAUGCAGCGACGCCGCGUGAGCGAAGAAGUAUUUCGGUAUGUAAAGCUCUAUCAGCAGGGAAGAAAAUGACGGUACCUGAGUAAGAAGCUCCGGCUAAAUACGUGCCAGCAGCCGCGGUAAUACGUAUGGAGCAAGCGUUAUCCGGAUUUACUGGGCGUAAAGGGAGCGUAGGCGGCCUGCCAAGUCUGAUGUGAAAUACCGGGGCUCAACCCCGGGGCUGCAUUGGAAACUGGCAGGCUGGAGUGCCGGAGAGGCAGGCGGAAUUCCUAGUGUAGCGGUGAAAUGCGUAGAUAUUAGGAGGAACACCAGUGGCGAAGGCGACUAUCUGGCACAUAACUGACGCUGAGGAGCGAAAGCGUGGGUAGCAAACAGGAUUAGAUACCCUUGUAGUC
rnacentral:rRNA from 1 species